AUGGGCUCGAUAAAGGACAGAAAUGGUCUGGACCUAAUAGAAGCAGAAGAUAUUAAGAAGAGGUGGGAAGAAUACACAGAAGAACUGUACAAAAAAGAUCUUCACGACCCAGAUUAUCAUGAUGAUGUCAUCACUUUUCUAGAGCCAGACAUCUUGGAAUGUGAAGUCAAGUGGGCCUUAGAAAGCAUCACUACGAACAAAGCUAGUGGAGGUGAUGGAAUUCCAGUUGAGCUGUUUCAAAUCCUGAAAGAUGAUGCUGUGAAAGUGCUGCACUCAAUAUGCCAGCAAAUUUGGAAAACUCAGCAGUGGCCACAGGACUGGAAAAGGGCAGUUUUCAUUCCAAUCCCAAAGAAAGGAAAUGCCAAAGAAUGCUCAAACGACCGCACGAUUGCACUCAUCUCACAUGCUAGUAAAGUAAUGCUCAAAAUUCUCCAAGCCAGGCUUCAGCAAUAUGUGAACCGUGAACUCCCUGAUGUUCAAGCUGGUUUUAGAAAAGGCAGAGGAACCAGAGAUCAAAUUGCCAACAUCCGCUGGAUCAUGGAAAAAGCAAGAGAGUUCCAGAAAAACAUCUAUUUCUGCUUUCUUGACUAUGCCAAAGCCUUUGACUGUGUGGAUCACAAUAAACUGUGGAAAAUUCUGAAAGAGAUGGGAAUACCAGACCACCUGACCUGCCUCUUGAGAAAAAUGUAUGCAGGUCAGGAAGCAACAGUUAGAACUGGACAUGGAACAUCAGACUGGUUCCAAAUAGGAAAAGGAAUACGUCAAGGCUGUAUAUUGUCACCCUGCUUAUUUAACUUCUAUGCAGAGUACAUCAUGAGAAACGCUGGACUAGAAGAAGCACAAGCUGGAAUCAAGAUUGCCAGGAGAAAUAUCAAUAACCUCAGAUAUGCAGAUGACACCACCCUUAUGGCAGAAAGUAAAGAGGAACUAAAAAGCCUCUUGAUGAAAGUGAAAGAGGAGAGUGAAAAUGUUGGCUUAAAGCUCAACAUUCAGAAAACGAAGAUCAUGGCAUCCGGUCCCAUCACUUCAUGGGAAAUAGAUGGGGAAACAGUGGAAACAGUGUCAGACUUUAUUUUUUGGGGCUCCAAAACCACUGCAGAUGAUGACUGCAGCCAUGAAAUUAAAAGACACUUACUCCUUGGAAGAAAAGUUAUGACCAACCUAGACAGCAUAUUCAAAAGCAGAGACAUUACUUUGCCGACUAAGGUCCGUCUAGUCAAGGCUAUGGUUUUUCCUGUGGUCAUAUAUGAAUGCGAGAGUUGGACUGUGAAGAAGGCUGAGCACCGAAGAAUUGAUACUUUUGAACUGUGGUGUUGGAGAAGACUCCUGAGAGUCCCUUGGACUGCAAGGAGAUCCAACCAGUCCAUUCUGAAGGAGAUCAACCCUGGGAUUUCUUUGGAAGGAAUGAUGCUAAAGCUGAAGCUCCAGUACUUUGGCCACCUCAUGCGAAGAGUUGACUCAUUGAAAAGGACUCUGAUGCCGGGAGGGAUUGGGGGCAGGAGGAGAAGUGGACGACCGAGGAUGAGAUGGCUGGAUGGCAUCACGGACUCGAUGGACGUGAGUCUGAGUGAACUCCGGGAGAUGGUGAUGGACAGGGAGGCCUGGCGUGCUGCGAUUCAUGGGGUCACAAAGAGUCAGACAUGA
rnacentral:lncRNA from 1 species